rnacentral:lncRNA from 1 species
AUGAUCAGGACAGCAUUUCAAGUGAGAGGGCUGGAGCGCACUCCUGGAAAAAGGAUCACUUUGCUGAGAGUAAAGUUGGUCAAACAUUCAGUGAAGCAAUCAGCCCUCUGCCUGCCUGAGAGGGAGCAAAAUUGGUUUGAAUGGACAGUUGAGGAACCAGAAAGUGUGAAGAUGUCAGAUUGUGUAUCUAGCGACUCCUAAGUUUUUCCCACAGAAGACAGUGCCCUUGCUUCUGAGGUGUUUGGGCAUAGCCAUGGAGGGGCCAGAGUCAAUCCUGCAGCAGUGGGUGUGUCAAGCUGGAGGGAAGCAGUCUCUCUGCCACCCCAUUGCCACAAUAAGGUGACAUGACUUCUGGAUGAAGAGUCCUACAAAUUUGUGCAGAAAAGAUUAAGUUCAGAAUGUCUUGUAGAAGCAUGUGACAAGUGGGGCAACACUGAUACACACUUUGGUCUCUUCUUAAAUAUCCAAUUAAGAAACUAGACUUGCUCUGAACUUAAACUUUUGCCAUGUGUGUCUUUUAACCAGCACUAAGUAGACUUUAGAAGUAAAAUAACAGCUGUCUAACAAAUUGAAAUGUGCUAAAAUAAACUCAUCAAAAAUGACUAGUCUGGAGUAGUUGUGUAUUAUGUAUGAGUUCAAAGUCUCAGGGUAUGUCUAUACUAUGAAA